CGGCAGCCGGGGCUUUGGUGGCCGCUGAAGGUUUGCGGCAGGAGGCCUUUGUGAAGUCAGUCGGCUCCAGGUCGCCCUCCGGAUGCGGUCCCCACACCGCCUGCGUCACCUGGGUUGAGGGGCUCAUUUGAAAUACAGACUUCGCUACCCACCCCAGCCUGCUGAAUCGGAAAUGCAGCGGUGAGCCAUAGGUGAUUAUUAUGCACCCUUAAAUUUAAGAAUUAGUCAUUCGGAGGUUUCUCUCAAUGGCGAACUUGAAAAUAAGUUCAGGAAACCAGACAAUUGGAGCGGACCGACAGCCCUGAUUCCAAUGGGUAGCUGUCAAUGGCUUUGGAAGAAAAUCCCAGAGAUAACAGAACAUUCUUGCUGCAUUAUGGAAUUAA
rnacentral:lncRNA from 10 species